GUUGUUUUGAUCCUGUGAUCCGAGGGCUGCCAAUCUUCGUCAUCUCUCAAAAUAUCCAUGAAUUUUUGGUUUUCACGCUGCUUAUCUGGGUUGGUGAAUUGUUGAGUGUUAUCCCAUUAUAAGUCAAGGUAGGUCUGGUUCCUACUCAGGAAACACACAAAAUUAAUUGCUUUUAAUUAAAAAUGACCUAAUAGAUAAUGAGUGUAGACACCAAGAGUGCCUGUCCUCAUCUUGUGAAUUUCUCAGAGCACAGAUACCACAUCUAAAGAGGUUACAGGGAAGAUUAAAAAAAUCCUGUGAGGAAUUUUUUAUCUGUGGCCAUAAAUCCACUGAUUUAGAGUCAGAGACCUCUUUAGCAUCAGCUGAAGAAAACCCAGGUGAAGGAAACAGGUACAGACUGCAAAGCAAACUGGUGGUCCAGCCUCUAAAAGCCAUCUUUUAGAGAUGGUGCCAGGCUGCAAAAUGGUAUCAGCUUCUGCAGUGGCAGAGGGGAGCUGGCUGCAGACCUCCUCCAAGCCCUCCAGGCUCCUGGGGAAGCUGCACCUGCCCUUGCUGACCUCAGGCUGUGUUCCAAACACUGAUACUGAACAUCCUCCGUGACAAGCAGCAGCUGAUGGGAAGCAUUUCUUCAUUCUCACAAACCAUUACCCCCCACCCCCCAGACAGAUUUUAUGAAGCGUGGGAACCCAAAAAGCUGAAGUUUAGUUUCCAUUGCUGGUUGGUUUAGGUUUACAGAGUCAUUUUUCUUGCCUAAGUGGAGCAGUUUUGUGCUAAAAGUUGUUCUACAGACCUGAUUCCUCUCUGUGGCCCGCUCACCUUGCAGGCAAGGUCAGAGCUUGCUGAUCUAGCAAGCCCUGAUUGUUGCUUUUCUCCACCCCUGAUCACUUGGAAGGGUUUCUCAAACACACCUGCGUCAUGACCUCGAUUUUGAUAAUCAGUCUCAUGAGGGAGUUUUCACAGGGAGGUGGAGGCAGCUGUGGGGAGGUUCUGCUCCUCUCAGCCCCCUUAGCACAGGAACGGCACCAACCACAGCCUGCAGAAACUUUCUCCAAGGGACAAAUACAGGAACAGCCAGAUUUGGGCUCUAAAGUGCCCUUUUGCUGCUCAAUGAAGGUGCACUGCAGUGGGGACCUUAACUUGUGUCCCUGGAGACCCAGGUGGAAACCAGCCUGAACCAAGGAUGGCACAAGAGCUGCUCAUUUCCAUAUGUGGAUCCCUCCCUCCUUCCUGGGGCUGACCUCCCACCUCAUCCCAAGGGCUUAAUCCCCUGUGCGAAAUUCACAUCCAUGAGGGCGCCGAUGGCUUCCAAAAUGACCCACUUCAUAAAAUCCCUGAGCAGCAAAGUGCCAGAAGCUGCAAGAGCCCCCAGGUGAAAUUUCCCUGCGUGUUUUCCUUGUUCUUGCACCUUUCCCCGGAUAUUUGGGCAGAGUUCAAGACGGGACACUGGGCUCAGGGGAUUUGCAACAAUACAGACAUUGUCACGCUCUUCUGACACAGGAAAUCAAAGAGACCUUCCCUUGUGAGGACGGAUGUGAUGAGCAAGUGAUUUCUGCUUUACAUCCUCAUUCAAGCUGAGCACCUGAUGAUGAAGCCCAGAGUUCAGAGACUGAGGGAUGGAAAAAUUCAACUCCCAAAAAGCAUUCUGUUUCAGAACACCUGUGCUCCCAGGUUUCUGAGUAAAAGAACUACACAUAGGCUGCCUCAGGAUCCGACUGCUGAGCAAUAUUGGCAGGAUAAAAGCCCAGCCAACCAAAAUGCUGAACAAGCAGAGAAACUUGAAACCUGUGCCACUUGCAACCUGUGUUCACAGCUUCUUUUGCCAGCAGAAAAGGGUCACGGGCUUCUGGGUGAUUCACUUUGUGUCAUUUGGCUCCACCUCAGAGGUGAGGGUUUCGGAAUUACUCACAGCCCCGUGCUAACGGAUGGCAUCGUGUGAUGCUACUGAAGUUUUGCACCCUUUGAACCCAAAGAGGUACUGAGCAGGUGACUUCAAAAUGAGACCUCCAAGCUCUUUUUUCACCCCCAGUUUGAGGCAGGUUUCAUUCCAGUGAGCCCUCGUUUCAGGCACCAGAGUUGGCUCGUGGCUGAUAUUGAUUGAGACUUGGCAAAACAAUCUUGGUUCUUCACUGGGGAGACACAAGUGGGCUUUAAUUACUGAUGACACAAGAGCUCUUAACCAUCACCCAGGCAUCACAAAUUAAUUUCCAAAAUACCAGAGCCUGUCUUCUCUAAUCCAUCUCACACAAGGAAGGAAGAGGUUUUGGUGCACCAAAGGGGACCUGGGCAGGAUCUGGCAGAGGUGGAACAAGGUGGAGUGAGAGGGCUCAAGCAUCUAAAAACAACCCUCUUUUCACUCUGUAGAUGCCUUUUCUUCCCCUCCCUCAAUUUCUUCCCCAAGGAAACUGGAAUCUGACACAAAAAAAUGAAAGAGAAAUACCCCAAAGCUUUGCUUAAGCCAUGUAUACAACACUCUUGUAAAUGGAAAGUUUGGAAGCCAGAGAAAAUUGCUUGUUGUGCCAGACAGGGCUAUUUUCAAAGUCCCCAGGUGUAUUCCUUUGCCCUUCUCUCAUUAAAAAGCUACAAUGGAUCCUGCACAGAUGGUUUUUUUAAAGGUGUAGAGAGUUGCCCAAGAAGAUGGAGGGAUCCAGGAGAUAUUUUUGUGAGGGCUGUGGUGCCUCAGCCAGACUGGGAUGCAAGCUGUAGGCUUGGCUUAUUUUCCCACACUUCUCAACUACAUGACCACCUUUGUUUUAGCUGUGAAGCCUCCCUGGCCAAACAAAUAUUUUUAUUAAUACUCAUCAGCAAAAAUAUAAACAGAUACUGAGUUAGAAGCACGGGCUCAGCUCUGAUUGUUUGACCUUUAGUUUCUAUUGACAACAGCAAAGUAAACAAUUUCUGUGGAGACUCAGUGCUGAUUUCUGCCACAAAUAAAUACGAACUUGAGAUUAAAAUGGUGAGCUUUAAGUUAUUGAAUAGAGACCUGAAGCCAUUGAAACUGGGAGCUGCCCUGGAAGUACUGACA